GCUAGCUUCCAUGGCCCCCAAGUCAGGUUCCCCAGCACAGCACACAGCCUCAGAGUCACAGGUCUCCUAGCUGGCAGUCCGUGCAGCAAUCCUGACCCUCUCUGCCAGGCCUGUAGGCCUCUGCUCUUGUCCUACAGACGGCUCUUUCCAAGCAAAUUUCUUGGCUGCACGUGGGCCUUCUUCCCAAAUGCAUUCACUUGUGCAUUUGUUCUUUUAACAAAGAUUUCAUGAGAGCCCAUUUUGUGCCAGGCACAGUUCUGGGCACCGGAGAUAUAGUAGAGAAGCAACCAGGCACGGUCUGUGCUUUUAGGACUUAGGCUCUGGGUGGUCCGGGACAAACUAAGCCUGUCACUGCAGUGAGCACAACAGAGGAAAUGAAGGGAGGAUGCGGUAGAGGGAAACCACGGGAGGGGACUGCGUGGCCUUGGACAGAGCGGCCAGGAUGGCCUGUCUAAGGAGAGCCGGACGAUGAAAAGGGGCCCAAGGAAAGCCUGUCUGGAGAGAGUGCGGGCAAAGGCUCCAAGACAGAGGGUGGUCUCGGGGGGGCAAACAAGCCCGGGGGCGGGUGAGAGUGGGAGAGAAUGAUGCGGGCAGAGGCUCAGUGACGGCGGCUGGAAAGCCUAGAUAAGAAGUUUGGAGACGAUUACAUGUCAGUUGGAAGUUGAAUCGGAAGAAAUCUUAUUUACAUUUUGAAAAUUUCCCUUUAGCUGCUGUGUGGAGACAGGAUGGGAGAAACAGGCCGUUCGCGGGAAGCACAAGCCUGCAAGGAUGAAUCCCAGCUCAGCUGCCAAGCUGUCUGCUAGACCCUGGACUUCCAAGCAUCAGCAAGUUACCCCCUCAUCUAUGGGAUGGGAACUUCCCCAGCGACAGUUUGGAACACGGGAGUAUAAUUAGGUCCUGUCUUCAAGGAGUUCACCACAGAACGCGGGGAUUUGCAUCAUGCAGGAGAUGGAAGGAUUGAAUGCCAAGCAGAGCACCUUCCAUCCUAACUGCAGAGCCGGGAACUGCCCAAACAAAGCCUGCUCCCGCCUGCAGAUUCCUCCCGCCUGCAGAUCCCACCCGCCUGCAUCUCCUCAACCUCCUUCCCAGCCCUCUCAGCGGGUGCAAACACCCCCUUUUCCUGCUUCAGCAACCCUCCCACCUCUGCGCCCAGGGACCUUUCCCAUCCCUUCUCCCCUCCUUUUCUUUCUUUCUUUUUUUUUCUGAAGCAGCUUACUGAAGAUACCAGCUCCAUACAGUAAAAUACACUCAUUUUCAGCGUACCUCUUGUUGAGUCUUGACACAGCAUACAACCCCGCACCCACCACCCUAACCAAGGGUAGAGCCUUCCCAUCACCCCCUAAAUUUCCAGGGGCUCUUUCUCAGUCCAUCUCCGCCUUUGUCCCCCAGCCCCAGGCAACCACCAGUCUUCCUUCUCUCACUAUUGUUUAGU